AUAAACGCUGGCGGCGCACAUAAGACAUGCAAGUCGAACGGAAGUCGUUAUACAAGGAGAGAAGAUUUAUCGAAUUGAAUUAUAUAACAAUGGCUUUAGUGGCGGACUGGUGAGUAACGCGUAAGAAAUCUACCUAUUAGAGGGGAACAACAAUGAGAAAUCAUUGCUAAUACCGCAUAUGCCAUAAACAUCGCAUGAUGAAAGUGGGAAAGGAGCAAUCCGCUGAUAGAUGAUCUUGCGUCUGAUUAGUUAGUUGGUGGGGUAAUGGCCUACCAAGACGACGAUCAGUAGCCGGACUGAGAGGUUGAACGGCCACAUUGGGACUGAGAUACGGCCCAGACUCCUACGGGAGGCAGCAGUCGGGAAUAUUGCGCAAUGGAGGAAACUCUGACGCAGUGACGCCGCGUGCAGGAAGAAGGUUUUCGGAUUGUAAACUGCUUUAGACAGGGAAGAGAAAGGACAGUACCUGUAGAAUAAGCUCCGGCUAACUACGUGCCAGCAGCCGCGGUAAUACGUAGGGAGCGAGCGUUAUCCGGAUUUAUUGGGUGUAAAGGGUGCGUAGACGGGAAUACAAGUUAGUUGUGAAAUACCUCGGCUUAACUGAGGAACUGCAACUAAAACUAUAUUUCUUGAGUGCAGGAGAGGUAAGUGGAAUUCCUAGUGUAGCGGUGAAAUGCGUAGAUAUUAGGAGGAACACCAGUGGCGAAGGCGACUUACUGGACUGAAACUGACGUUGAGGCACGAAAGUGUGGGGAGCAAACAGGAUUAGAUACCCUGGUAGUCCACACCGUAAACGAUGGAUACUAGGUGUAGGAGAUAUUAAGUCUUCUGUGCCGUCGCAAACGCAGUAAGUAUCCCACCUGGGGAGUACGGCCGCAAGGUUGAAACUCAAAGGAAUUGACGGGGGCCCGCACAAGCAGUGGAGUAUGUGGUUUAAUUCGAAGCAACGCGAAGAACCUUACCAGGUCUUGACAUCCGUGUAAAGCCGCAGAGAUGCGGUGUGAGCUUGCUCAAUACGAGACAGGUGGUGCAUGGUUGUCGUCAGCUCGUGUCGUGAGAUGUUGGGUUAAGUCCCGCAACGAGCGCAACCCCUGUUUCUAGUUGCCAGCAUGUAAAGAUGGGAACUCUAGAAAGACUGCCGUAGAUAAUACGGAGGAAGGUGGGGAUGACGUCAAAUCAUCAUGCCCUUUAUGUCCUGGGCUACACACGUACUACAAUGGCUGUAACAGAGGGAAGCGAACCAGUGAUGGUAAGCGAAACCCGAAAAGCAGUCACAGUUCGGAUUGAAGGCUGAAACUCGCCUUCAUGAAGCCGGAAUUGCUAGUAAUGGCAGGUCAGCAUACUGCCGUGAAUACGUUCCCGGGCCUUGUACACACCGCCCGUCACACCAUGAGAGUUGGGGAUACCCGAAGCCUGUGAGCCAACAGUUAAAUGGGGCAGCAGUCGAAGGUAGAAUCAAUGAUUGGGGUG
rnacentral:rRNA from 1 species